rnacentral:lncRNA from 1 species
CCCGCAGCGAGAGUUUAACCACUCUGGGCGCGGGGAGCUCGGGCGAUUUAGCGCUGGGGACCAAGGAUCCGUGGAGCGACGAACUGGGGGGCCCCAAGAUACCAGUGAGAAAAAGAGAGAGCACAAGCAGGGGACUCUAUCCUUUUGAAGACAGAGACCUUGGACAAUGAGACAGUAUUUUCAAAACGGACCAUGUGCAUGAGGACUGAAGCCCCAGCUCCCAACCAGCACUGAGGUCCCAGUCAUGUGAUGAAAUCAUCUCAGACCGUUCGACCCCGCCUUAGCUGUCUCUGACAUCAUAUGGAGAAGAAACAAGCCCUCCCCACUAUGCCCUCCCCAAGUUCGAGACCCAGAUAAUGAUGAG